GACGAACGCUGGCGGCGUGCUUAACACAUGCAAGUGGAGCGACGAACCAGGGCUUGCCCUGGGGCGGAGCCGCGAACGGGUGAGUAACACGUGGGUAACGUGCCCCGAUGAUCGGGACAACCCGGGGAAACCCGGGCUAAUACCGAAUGUGCUCCCCUCACACCAGUGAGGGAUGGAAAGGAAGCUUCGGCCUCCGCAUCGGGAUCGGCCCGCGGCCCAUUAGCUUGUUGGUGAGGUAACGGCUCACCAAGGCUGCGAUGGGUAGCUGGUCUGAGAGGACGAUCAGCCACACUGGGACUGAGACACGGCCCAGACUCCUACGGGAGGCAGCAGUGGGGAAUCUUGCGCAAUGCGCGAAAGCGUGACGCAGCAACGCCGCGUGGGGGAAGACGGCCU
rnacentral:rRNA from 1 species